AAUAAGAUGCCUGAAUUAAAAGGGUUAUUUUGAUUGAAUAAAAAAGUAGGUAAAUCUACUCUUAUUA
rnacentral:tRNA from 1 species